GAUGAACGCUGGCGGCGUGCCUAAUACAUGCAAGUCGAGCGAACGGACGAGAAGCUUGCUUCUCUGAUGUUAGCGGCGGACGGGUGAGUAACACGUGGAUAACCUACCUAUAAGACUGGGAUAACUUCGGGAAACCGUAGCUAAUACCGUAUAAUAUUUUGAACCGCAUGGUUCAAAAGUGAAAGACGGUCUUGCUGUCACUUAUAGAUGGAUCCGCGCUGCAUUAGCUAGUUGGUAAGGUAACGGCUUACCAAGGCAACGAUGCAUAGCCGAACUGAGAGGGUGAUCGGCCACACUGGAACUGAGCCACGGUCCAGACUCCUACGGGAGGCAGCAGUAGGGAAUCUUCCGCAAUGGGCGAAAGCAUGACGGAGCAACGCCGCGUGAGUGAUGAAGGUCUUCGGAUCGUAAAACUCUGUUAUUAGGGAAGAACAUAUGUGUAAGUAACUGUGCACAUAUUGACGGUACCUAAUCAGAAAGCCACGGCUAACUACGUG
rnacentral:rRNA from 1 species